AACAUAUAAUAAAUUAUUUGCCCCAGGGGUACAGGUCUGUGAAUCACCAAGUUUACACACUUCACAGCACUCACCAAAGCACAUACCCUCCCCAAUGUCCAUAAUCCCACCCCGUUCUCCCAAACCCCC